CAGAUGUUUGAGCUGUAGAAGAUAGAGGCGGUGUUUGUUACACCAGGGAUCAUUCGCAUCUGAGUGCAGACAAUCAGGUAAUGGAGAUGGUCUUCACAGAAAAGAAGAUACUGUAAUUGAGCUCAAUCACUCAUAGACAUCCAACGGUCAAUCAGUGGAGGCUUCUUUGGAGACCUGGAAUAUGUUGGCCUCAUCAAUACCAACCGUGGGAAGAGCUCAAUUCUCUGUGGUGUUUUAAGAUGCUGAUAAAAUGAUAAUGAUCCCGGGAAGAGACUGCCGCUAAUGCAAAAGAAAUGGAGG
ensembl:lncRNA